AGGCAGCAGGCGCGCAAAUUACCCAAUCCUGAUACAGGGAGGUAGUGACAAGAAAUAACAAUACAGGGCAAUUCUGUCUUGUAAUUGGAAUGAGUAGAUUUUAAAUCUCUUUACGAGUAUCAAUUGGAGGGCAAGUCUGGUGCCAGCAGCCGCGGUAAUUCCAGCUCCAAUAGCGUAUAUUAAAGUUGUUGCGGUUAAAAAGCUCGUAGUUGGAUUUCUGCCUUGGGCGACCGGUCCACCUUUCCUACGGGUUAGGUCGGUACCAGGUUUGACCUUGGCUUUUUCUUGGGAUUCGUGCUCACGCACUUAACUGUGCGCUGACCGUGUUCCAAGACUUUUACUUUGAGGAAAUUAGAGUGUUUCAAGCAGGCUUAUGCCGUGAAUACAUUAGCAUGGAAUAAUAGGAUAUGACUUUGGUCAUAUUUUGUUGGUUUCUAGGACUGAAGUAAUGAUUAAUAGGGACAGUCGGGGGCCCUCAAA
rnacentral:rRNA from 1 species